rnacentral:rRNA from 1 species
UACGUAGGGGGCAAGCGUUGUCCGGAUUUAUUGGGCGUAAAGAGCGUGUAGGCGGCCAGGUAGGUCUGCUGUGAAAACUCGAGGCUCAACCUCGAGAUGUCGGCGGAAACCAUCUGGCUAGAGUCCGGAAGAGGAGAGUGGAAUUCCUGGUGUAGCGGUGAAAUGCGCAGAUAUCAGGAAGAACACCCGUGGUCGAAGGCGGCUCUCUGGGACGGUACUGACGCUGAGACGCGAAAGCGUGGGGAGCGAACAGG